rnacentral:rRNA from 1 species
GACGAACGCUGGCGGCGUGCUUAACACAUGCAAGUCGAACGGAAAGGCCCUGCUUUUGUGGGGUGCUCGAGUGGCGAACGGGUGAGUAACACGUGAGUAACCUGCCCUUGACUUUGGGAUAACUUCAGGAAACUGGGGCUAAUACCGGAUAGGAGCUCCUGCUGCAUGGUGGGGGUUGGAAAGUUUCGGCGGUUGGGGAUGGACUCGCGGCUUAUCAGCUUGUUGGUGGGGUAGUGGCUUACCAAGGCUUUGACGGGUAGCCGGCCUGAGAGGGUGACCGGCCACAUUGGGACUGAGAUACGGCCCAGACUACUACGGGAGGCAGCAGUGGGGAAUAUUGCACAAUGGGCGGAAGCCGGAUGCAGCAACGCCGCGUGCGGGAUGACGGCCUUCGGGUUGUAAACCGCUUUCGCCUGUGACGAAGCGUGAGUGACGGUAAUGGGUAAAGAAGCACCGGCUAACUACGUG